AAAUAUACUUUCUACUAUUGAUAACAGAAGCAAAGUUAAGUAAUAGAAUACGUGUAAAGUGAAGUAGAGAAUAAGCUUGAUUAUUCAUUUCCCCUUAUCAAAGGUUUUGUGUUUUUUUAGUAAAUAUAAUAAAUUUUAAAUUUCGCAUAAAGACGUAGACUGAAGGAGAAGAUACUUCUUGAUAAGGCCUCUUUCGCAUUUUUUUCAUAAUCUGGCAGUGUGAGCAUUUUAGCUCAAACCUUCUAACGUCCUGUUUUAUUUUUUGUGUUGUUUGUGUUUUUGUGGCGUUGUGGAAUAUCUUCAGCGAAGCAGCAUUUGAGCUUUUGCACGAAUAAUCUUCCUGAGGUAAUUUCAAGACCGAACGAAUAAAAGGAUUGCUUGCCAUCUUGAAUGGUUAGAAUGGGUAUCCCAGAAUCACAUAACCAAUGGAACGAUGAUAACCAACCGACGAAGUAAAGUUUCAAAAGAGAGUUCAUGAAUAGCAUUUUCAAGUUUAUAUUUAUUUUUUAUGGAAGAUUUGUCUAAGCUGAAGCGAAAGCAAAUAAAAAUUCUCCAUGACAAAGGUGAGUGUGUGAUGGUGGGUAUCUGGAACCUAGAGACAUGCUACCCAGACUCUAUUGUGUUUUAUACAAAACCACUAUUGGCGAUAAACCACAGAUGCAAACUUGUAGUCACAAUCAAUUAGCAUUUUCUUUGUUGAUGAAUGCAGUGAUGAAUACUCACUUUUUCAGUUUCGUAGAAAAGCGUUCAUCUGUUGUUCAAAGAAGGUAAACAGUGUCAGUAACUAAUUUACAUUUUUAUCAAGCAGGUGAAACUUCAUUUUCGAUCCAAGAUUAUGAAGAUACUACCUUAUUUAUUUUCGGUAUUCGUUUUGCUUUCUUCAUUAACAUGGAGUGGAAUUUUUGUAAGUACCUGUGCUACGGAUGGAUCCGAGUAUACCUGCUUAAGUGGGAAUUGUAUUCCAAUUGAAAAAGUGUGUGAUGGAGUAAUAGAUUGCCCUGAUGGAGAAGAUGAAAGAAAUUGUUAAAGCUUAGACAAUAAAACGUUCUCUUAUAAAAAUAAUGUUUAACUUCAAUAGAUUAAGUUAUCGCAAGUAUAGAUAUGUGCUUCGCUCCUAACAUUUACGAUUUCAACUUUCCUGACCAUUAGCAUUAAGAAUUAUAGGAAUGGCUCAAGUCCGUUCUUAGGGGAGAGACCGCUAAUAAUUUCAAAAUCAACCGUUUACAUUUCUGCUGAUACAUUUUUAUAUUUAAGUCUUUCUUCUUGAAAAGAUAAAUCAAGAGGUAGCUCUUUGAUCAGCUCAAUAAUAGAUUCCCUUUUACCACGACACACGCUAUGCUGUUCUUCCCAAGAUUUACCGUGGUUCCGGAGCUCAAGCGUAUCAAGUUCCCCUGGUUCACCUGCCUUAUGAUGAUCCUUCGGAACGCGGCCGACAAUUUAAAUUGCACUAUAGAAUUUUAUUGCGGUUGAAUACACAUCCAUAUUCUCCAGCGAGCUGUUUAAGUUAUCUAUGGUCCGGUCAGAAAGGUAGUUCAGCUAAUGCCGAACGAUAACCAAAUCACGAAAGCAGAUCAUAUUCAACUUAGGUUGGUAACAGCAGAAUCGUUAACCAUUGGAACACGAAGAAUUUUUGCCUUUGUUGGCGCAGCCUCUAGCUUUAGUCGUCACUUUUUAUCGCUUGUUUUGAUUCAAGCCUGUAGUGGUGAACCCAUGUCUCAUCACACGACUGAAAAAACCUUAUUAUACUUCAGCAAACACCCACACCCAUAACCUCUGGCAAAUUUCCCAACAGGCGGUUUUUGAUCAGGAGAAAUAAGCAUGGGAACUCAUCGUGCUUAGACCUUCCUUCAAAGGCUCCCUAAGUGCACGGAUGUUUCCAUCUGUGAUGGAAAUUCUACAACGCCACGAUUGGCAUCCACGAACUUCCAUCGUUACUUUUCCACCAUUCUACGUCCUUAAGAAAAACUUUUAUGCCACACGUUCUCGUGAAUUUUGGAGAGAGUUUCAGCCCCGAAUUCCACUCGUAAAUAUGUUAAAAUUUCUGAAUGUCUCACUUCUUUCCGCGUCAAAAAUUGUAUAGCUGUGCUGAUAGUGAUAGUGGGGCGAACAAAGGGCGACUAUGGUAGUUCAUUAUAAUUAUAUUGUGUGCACAGGGUAGCAUAGAUUCCUAAAGAGACAAGCAUAAACAAAGUCGUACUUAUAUUUGAAUGCAAUUAUUUACGUUUAACAUCUCUCUUCUUUCUCAAUACCUAAUCUUUAAUUCCCUUCCAUUUCAUCAGGAAUCUACAUAGGGUAUUUGCGACUAAUAUGUAGAUACAUAUCUGGGCAGAAGCCUUCAAUUGCUCUUUUUAUUUUUUUUCGUAAACCAAAUUAAUUAAUAGUAAUUAAACCAAAGUAGCUUCUAAUUUGAUACAGGAAGCAACAAAGACAUUCAUUUUUCAAAAGGCACAUAAUUGCUGUCGUCAAAGGUUUUUUUAGAUCAGUAGAAAAAAAUCAAAGAACCCAUCGUAAUCAGAUCUUUGAGAAUCCCCUAUUGAAGAAGCAAUUUCCUCGACGUUGAGAUGUCGGUCUUCUUCCAAAAGCUCCCUAACUACACGGUCGUUUUAUUUGUGAUGGGAAUUCGAGGAUGCAGAUUGUGACUGUGAUUUUACACCAUUUUGCGUCCUUCAAAAAAACUUUUAUGUCAC